CGCAGCUUGGCCUGGGGGCGACCUCUGCCGCUGGAAAUUUGCCUGAGGUCCGACUCCAGCUUAGCCACCGGAGGUGGGCAGGAUGUGCUGAGGGGGCGGAGGCAGCUGCCAAGGCAGCGACGGAGGGGGCUGUCCCUGGCCAGCUGGUCAAUUUGUUUCCAUCUCAACUUUUGCUGCCCCAGUUUCGCAGGACGCCCUACUCCAGUUUAUCCUUCUCCUUGGUGGUGACAUUUUAGGUUAUUGGGUCACAGAUUACUGGCACACUCAUCCCUGUUCUCAAACAUCUUUUAAACUUGGGUGAAGUGAUAAGUAGGGGAAGAUGAUUUACUGAAAGAGUCUCCCGAGAAGAGAUUCAGACUGAACAGCUUUGUGUCAGAAUUUGGAAGACCGCUGGUGCCCAAGGUGUUGUGUGGCAG